UACGGGGGGGGCAAGCGUUGUUCGGAAUUACUGGGCGUAAAGGGCUCGUAGGUGGCCAACUAAGUCAGACGUGAAAUCCCUCGGCUUAACCGGGAAACUGCGUCUGAUACUGGAUGGCUUGAGGUUGGGAGAGGGAUGCGGAAUUCCAGGUGUAGCGGUGAAAUGCGUAGAUAUCUGGAGGAACACCGGUGGCGAAGGCGGCAUCCUGGACCAAUUCUGACGCUGAGGAGCGAAAGCCAGGGGAGCAAACGGG
rnacentral:rRNA from 1 species